ACGGGUGCGUAACACGUGGGUAAUCUGCCCUCGAGUCUGGGAUAACCAUUCGAAAGUUUGGCUAAUACCAGAUAAGCUCACGGGAGCCUCGGCUCCUGGGAGAAAAGUAGGCCUCUAUUUAUAAGCUUACACUCAAGGAUGAGCCCGCGGCCCAUCAGCUCGUUGGCGGGGUAACGGCCCACCAAGGCAACGACGGGUAGCUGGUCUGAGAGGACGAUCAGCCACACUGGAACUGAGACACGGUCCAGACUCCUACGGGAGGCAGCAGUGGGGAAUUUUCCACAAUGGGCGAAAGCCUGAUGGAGCAACGCCGCGUGUGUGAUGAAGGUCUUCGGAUCGUAAAGCACUUUCGACCGGGACGAAAAACCUCUGGCUAACAUCCAGGGGCCUGACGGUACCGGGAGAAGAAGCACCGGCUAACUCUGUGCCAGCAGCCGCGGUAAUACAGAGGGUGCAAGCGUUGUUCGGAAUUAUUGGGCGUAAAGCGCGUGUAGGCGGCUUUGCAAGUCAGAUGUGAAAGCCCUCGGCUCAACCGAGGAAGUGCGUCUGAAACUGCAGAGCUUGAGUACCGGAGAGGGUGGCGGAACUCUG
rnacentral:rRNA from 1 species